rnacentral:rRNA from 1 species
UACGUAGGGUGCGAGCGUUAAUCGGAAUUACUGGGCGUAAAGCGUGCGUAGGCGGUUCGUUAAGUCAGCUGUGAAAGCCCCGGGCUCAACCUGGGAACUGCGGUUGAAACUGGCGAACUAGAAUCUGGCAGAGGGGGGUGGAAUUCCACGUGUAGCAGUGAAAUGCGUAGAGAUGUGGAGGAAUACCGAUGGCGAAGGCAGCCCCCUGGGAUAACACUGACGCUCAUGCACGAAAGCGUGGGGAGCAAACAGG